rnacentral:rRNA from 1 species
UACGUAGGUGACAAGCGUUGUCCGGAUUUACUGGGCGUAAAGAGCGCGCAGGCGGUCGAUCAAGUCGAGUGUGAAAGCCCCCGGCUCAACUGGGGAGGGUCAUUCGAUACUGAUCGACUCGAAGGCAGGAGAGGGUAGUGGAAUUCCGGGUGUAGCGGUGAAAUGCGUAGAUAUCAGGAGGAACACCAAUUGCGAAGGCAGCUCGCUGGGACGUAACUGACGCUGAGACGCGAAAGCGUGGGGAGCAAACAGG